CAUCUUAGUACUCCCAUAUCUAGCAUUGGUGUUUGGAGAAGGAGGUGAAUGAUGCUGUGACACUUCUUUGGCCGCCAUAUUUGCGGUAAACGCGUAAGACGAAAUCGGUGUCUAUAUUUUUUAUGUUUUUUUGGGUGGCUGCUUGGACUGGCCUUUGCCUUUACCACUGUUGUGUUGGCGUGCUCUGGUGGAGCGCAUUGGUGGUGAGGACACUGGCGAUAUAAUUGGAGUAGUCGUACCAGAACUGCUGCUUGGUUGCUGUUGGUGCUGGGAUCUGAGUGUUUCAUUGAGCAUCUUCCACACAAUCUGCUACUGUAUGGCUGAAGUGGACAUACAUAGCUUUACUGGAUGUGGACAAGGCCAUUUUGCUCAGAUACUAUUUGAUGUUUUAGUGACUUCUUUUCUUACUCACAAUCAAGAUGAGGGGAGUGUGGUUGGUGUCUUGGAGGUGUGUCCAAAAUUUGGAGUGGUGGGACCGAAGAAACUGAGGACAAUCUUCGUGGCAGGGUAACCUGCUGUGGUUGGGACUGGACAUCAGACCUUGCUUUCUUUGUUGGCACAUGUAUUAUUUGUUGGUGUGGUACAGGAGUCCGCCUUCUGCUGCUGAAGACUUCUUUUGGUGGACCUAGGAUUUAAAGUGUAAUGUUGUUAUGGCCAUUCCUUUACAAACAUAACCUAUACUACAAUGGACACUUUACCUGCUUCCGGUGCGUCAUCAUCAUCAGUUGUCAUGGGAGUGACUGUAGGAUGAGCAGUACUGCUUUUUUUCAACACCAUAAAUCAUGAAACAAAUAAAAGAACUUAUUUAUUCAUGCUA